ensembl:snRNA U6 U6 spliceosomal RNA
GUCCUCACUUCAGCAGCACAUAUACUAAAAAACUGGAAUGGUACAGAGAAGAUUAGAAUGGUCCCUGCGCAAGGAUGACAUGCAAAUUCGUGAAGCGUUCCAUAUUAAA